UCCAGCAGCCAUGUCACCCUGCAACUCACAACUGGCAACCCACUGAAGCUAAGCAGGUGUGAGCCUGGUCAGUACCUGGAUGGGAGACCUCCUGGGAAAAACUAAGGUUGCUGCUGGAA
ensembl:rRNA 5S_rRNA 5S ribosomal RNA